UACGAAGGGGGCGAGCGUUGUUCGGAUUUACUGGGCGUAAAGGGCGCGCAGGCGGCGCAUUUUGUCAGGCGUGAAAGCCCCGGGCUUAACCUGGGAAGUGCGCGGAAAACUGGCGAGCUUGAGUGCCGGAGAGGGUCGCGGAAUUCCCGGUGUAGAGGUGAAAUUCGUAGAUAUCGGGAGGAACACCAGUGGCGAAGGCGGCGACCUGGACGGACACUGACGCUGAGACGCGAAAGCGUGGGGGGCAAACAGG
rnacentral:rRNA from 1 species